AACUUUCAACAACGGAUCUCUUGGCUCUCGCAUCGAUGAAGAACGCAGCGAAAUGCGAUAAGUAGUGUGAAUUGCAGAACUUUGUGAACCAUCGAAUCUUUGAACGCAAAUUGCGCCUUUUUCGGAAGGCAUGUCUGUUUGAGGGCACCAU
rnacentral:rRNA from 1 species